rnacentral:rRNA from 1 species
UACGAAGGGGGCUAGCGUUGCUCGGAAUCACUGGGCGUAAAGGGUGCGUAGGCGGGUCUUUAAGUCAGGGGUGAAAUCCUGGAGCUCAACUCCAGAACUGCCUUUGAUACUGAGGAUCUUGAGUCCGGGAGAGGUGAGUGGAACUGCGAGUGUAGAGGUGAAAUUCGUAGAUAUUCGCAAGAACACCAGUGGCGAAGGCGGCUCACUGGCCCGGUACUGACGCUGAGGAGCGAAAGCCAGGGGAGCAAACGGG